CAAAAUAGAGCUUGAUUAGUUAAGCUCCUCAUUUACACUGGGGCGAAAUCGUGCGAUUCGAUGUAUUUUGA
rnacentral:tRNA from 1 species